rfam:Dipodomys ordii contig_18696, whole genome shotgun sequence.
GGGAAGGUAGCUCAGUGGUAGAGCACUUGCCUUGCAUGCAUGAAGCCCUAGGUUCGAUUCCUCAGCACCA